AUGGUUAGCACCUGGGGAUCUUAUUAAAAUGCAGAUUUUGAUUCGUUACACUGGAGGAGGGGCCUGAGAGUCUGCAUGUCUAACAAGCUCCCAGGGGCAGCUGCU
rnacentral:pre_miRNA from 1 species